AAAAAAUUAGUUAAAUUAAUAACAUUAGUCUGUCAGUCUAAAAUUAUCUAGAUUAGAUAUUUUUUA
rnacentral:tRNA from 1 species